rnacentral:rRNA from 1 species
UUGACAGAGGUGGAAAGUACUGCGGCGGCAUGCUGGAGGCGCGGACCAGUGGCCCAACAACUGUACAGCGCCGCUGCAAUGGCGAUCACAACUAUGAGCACUCCGAUGCCAAGGGCUUCGCCGUCACCGACAAGGAGUAUGACUACAUCGCAGCCAAGUGCGGAAACAGGAGCUGUCCAGAGAGAUGUUUUGAUGGCUUUUGCAGGAUUAGUGACAGCAAGGAUAGUCCAAAAGCAGGCAGCGAUAAUAGAUAAUAUCACAGAAGAGGCGAGCGGAAUGAAGUGGGCGAAGGGCUUGUAG